rnacentral:rRNA from 1 species
GACGAACGCUGGCGGCGUGCUUAACACAUGCAAGUCGAACGGAAAGGCCCUGCUUUUGUGGGGUGCUCGAGUGGCGAACGGGUGAGUAACACGUGAGUAACCUGCCCUUGACUUUGGGAUAACUUCAGGAAACUGGGGCUAAUACCGGCUAGGAGCUCCUGCUGCAUGGUGGGGGUUGGAAAGUUUCGGCGGUUGGGGAUGGACUGGCGGCUUAUCAGCUUGUUGGUGGGGUAGUGGCUUACCAAGGCUUUGACGGGUAGCCGGCCUGAGAGGGUGACCGGCCACAUUGGGACUGAGAUACGGCACAGACUCCUACGGGAGGCAGCAGUGGGGAAUAUUGCACAAUGGGCGGAAGCCUGAUGCAGCAACGCCGCGUGCGGGAUGACGGCCUUCGGGUUGUAAACCGCUUUCGCCUGUGACGAAGCGUGAGUGACGGUAAUGGGUAAAGAAGCACCGGCUAACUACGUG